rnacentral:rRNA from 1 species
GCCACACUGGGACUGAGACACGGCCCAGACUCCUACGGGAGGCAGCAGUGGGGAAUAUUGCACAAUGGGCGAAAGCCUGAUGCAGCGACGCCGCGUGAGGGAUGACGGCCUUCGGGUUGUAAACCUCUUUCAGUAGGGAAGAAGCGAAAGUGACGGUACCUGCAGAAGAAGCGCCGGCUAACUACGUGCCAGCAGCCGCGGUAAUACGUAGGGCGCAAGCGUUAUCCGGAAUUAUUGGGCGUAAAGAGCUCGUAGGCGGUUUGUCGCGUCUGCCGUGAAAGUCCGGGGCUCAACUCCGGAUCUGCGGUGGGUACGGGCAGACUAGAGUGAUGUAGGGGAGACUGGAAUUCCUGGUGUAGCGGUGAAAUGCGCAGAUAUCAGGAGGAACACCGAUGGCGAAGGCAGGUCUCUGGGCAUUAACUGACGCUGAGGAGCGAAAGCAUGGGGAGCGAACAGGAUUAGAUACCCUGGUAGUCCAUGCCGUAAACGUUGGGCACUAGGUGUGGGGGACAUUCCACGUUUUCCGCGCCGUAGCUAACGCAUUAAGUGCCCCGCCUGGGGAGUACGGCCGCAAGGCUAAAACUCAAAGGAAUUGACGGGGGCCCGCACAAGCGGCGGAGCAUGCGGAUUAAUUCGAUGCAACGCGAAGAACCUUACCAAGGCUUGACAUGAACCGGAAACACCUGGAAACAGGUGCCCCGCUUGCGGUCGGUUUACAGGUGGUGCAUGGUUGUCGUCAGCUCGUGUCGUGAGAUGUUGGGUUAAGUCCCGCAACGAGCGCAACCCUCGUUCUAUGUUGCCAGCGCGUUAUGGCGGGGACUCAUAGGAGACUGCCGGGGUCAACUCGGAGGAAGGUGGGGACGACGUCAAAUCAUCAUGCCCCUUAUGUCUUGGGCUUCACGCAUGCUACAAUGGCCGGUACAAAGGGUUGCGAUACUGUGAGG